UACGUAGGGUCCGAGCGUUGUCCGGAAUUAUUGGGCGUAAAGGGCUCGUAGGCGGUUUGUCGCGUCGACUGUGAAAACCCGCGGCUCAACCGUGUGGUCUGCAGUCGAUACGGGCAGGCUAGAGUUCGGUAGGGGAGACUGGAAUUCCUGGUGUAGCGGUGAAAUGCGCAGAUAUCAGGAGGAACACCGGUGGCGAAGGCGGGUCUCUGGCCGAUAUUGACGCUGAGGAGCGAAAGCGUGGGGAGCGAACAGG
rnacentral:rRNA from 1 species